UCCCCGCUCUCGAUCCCCAUGCUUACCCCGCGUGGUCGCCGCCUCUCCCCGCCCUCCUUGUCUCGCCAGAGUCGCCGCUCUCGGAGCUCCAAUCCCAGUCCCGUGCCGGAGUUCAGCCAUACGGGAGAGGAUCCAUGAUGCGGCAAUAGAGGAGACGCAACAAAGGGGGCGAGUAUUCUCCCCCCCCCCGCCCCGCCCUAGCCCUGCCGCCUCCUAUUCUAUGGCGCUGCACACGGCAGACCCAUGCCUCCCAUCUCGCGGCGCUGCAUAGCGGGGAAGCCCGCACGCUCUAGAGGGGCGUCGGCGCCGCUUGAGCGGCCUAUGCUUCCUCUCCUCUCCAAUCGCGUCUGCCUCGACCUCGGACCUCACCAUCACAAUCCGUGGCUAUCUGUGGAGGUAGCCACCGGCAAAGAUCGAGGGUGUCUCCCUGCCAUGGGUGCUCCUGCUCGUGGUGGUUGCCCACAUCCCGGCAGCGCGUGGGAGCCAGUGUCCAUGGCCAGAGCUGGACUACUUGCCCACGACCUCACCCACCGGCCCAUCUGUUCUAUUGAAAAAUGGACAUCAAAGACACUCACUCUUGAAGGUGGAGAAACAGUGCACCCUUGUCUGAGAUCAAGGAAUAUUUGGCAGUGCAUCCAAAGUUCAAUUUGGCUGCAGUGAUUUUUGAAGUUGUGCCACAAUAACUCUGAACCCCAUAAAUUCAGUAUUCAAUCUCAUGAGUUUCAUAAAUUUUUCUGUCAUUGAUUUGUAGGAUAUGUUUGCAACAGAAGCUGCAAAGAACAAGGCUGCAUACACAAGGGAAAGGAGGCAACCUUUUGAUGUACUACAGCGGCUAGGGGGUUGACUGGUAAGCAUAUGGAUGUGUUUUUCCUCAUUUGCUAUAUGUGUUCUUAUUCAAAAUUCUUAGAUCAUCCCCAUGGUUGAAAUUGUUGAAAACUCUUUAUUUCGCUUUAGUUGGAUCCUACAGGUUAAAUAAUGUACGAAACCAGGUUGUAUUUGCUAGACUAUUAGAUUCUUUAGCACUUCAUACACUAAAAUAUGUUCUGGUAUUGCAACUUGUUGUCUUAAACGAGAAGCUUCUAGCCCUGGGAUGGACAAGAAGCUUCUAACCGUCACCAGCCCAUCUGCAGGUAUGCUAGCUCCUCUUCUAUUAAUGCAAAAAGGAGAUGCUCAAAUGGAUUGAGUGGUACCCUCCUGAAAGUAUUGUAGGGAUGGACAUAUGGAUUGAUUGGUAGGCCCCUGAAAGCUACACAGAUCUGAACCAAUAACUUUAAUAAGAAUGUGUAUCCCAGCUCCUUUUAUAAUCUUGAAUCCUUCUCGGUCCUACUAAACUGUAACUCAUGUUUAUUUUUGGAAACAAUAUUUUGGACAUUCCUAACCUGGUCAAGGGAAUGUAUUGCCCACCUACAGUGAGAGACACAUACGAAGUAGGUCCUACUAAACACCUAAAAGGAUGAGUUACAGUAGGUGUGCAUAGAGUACUAACAUUUUUGCUAUCUUUAUGCUCCUCCAUAUGGAUGGGAACUAAAAGGAUGAUGAUAUUAUUCUACCUUUCAAUAUUUGGUGGCGCAUAUUUAAGAAAAUCACAGCUAAGCAUGUCACUUUGUAAAAAGACGCUUGACUAGAAUGUAUAUGUAUAUAGUUAAUAAAAUCAUAGUGACUGAUUGUUUAGUUCCUCUGUUUAGAUUAGAGGUGUCUGCAUGCAUCCAAGUGAUCGGUCUUUCCAGCUCAAAAGAGAAAGUGACCGAUGUUUUGGCAUAUUUUCCUAUUAGGAAUAAAUGGACAUGCCCAUGCACGUAUGCACACAGAUUUCAGGUUACAGCUUAAUUAGGAAACAGAUGAUACCUCAUUGUGUCGUCUUGGUCUAAGAAGAGGGGAUAUACUUGGUGAAUAUAUAUGUUCCACCCGACCGUUAAUUUCAGAGAAAAGGAUGCACUUCAGUAGCAAAAAUUUGAUUGUUAUGUACUAUCUGUAAUGCUAAGCAUUUAUUUGCUAAUAUCUCCUCAUCUGAAUUUGUAUUUUGUGCCAUUUGGCCUUUUAACUAUAUGGGCAUCUGCAGAUGGUCUGAAAACCAAGAUAUGCCACAGAUAAUAACUAUACGGGCUGCUCCAGAUGGACUAAGAAUGGAACCAUAUCCUAGGCCUACAUGCUAAUAUUGUACAGCAAUGAAUAUCUUCACUUAUUUAUACUUAAUCAGUUGUGUAAUAAUAAGCGUGAUAUUAGCUUUCGUACCCAUCUUCAUGGUUGAAAUACUUUUCUGCAAUCUGUGACACAUUUGCUUCAGUUUCCAUAUGUCUUGCUUCAUGCUAUCAACAUUGUUAAUCAUUUAUCUUUAUCUUUCUUUCCCUUUACAGCCUACUUGAAUGGAUAUGGUUCCUGAGAGACCAUUUCUUAUGCAUCAGGUCCUGAAGGUGGAUGUUGCUUGUUUAGAUAUCUAUGAUUCCAAAUUAUUCAAAACGGUUCAUGUUAUACUGGAUGCUAUUUUAUUGAGAGUGGCUUCGAACAAUAUGGCAUGAACAUAUUUGUUUUCUCUUUGGCCAAUAAUGAAAUGAUCUUUGUGCAUAUAAAAUGGUUAUCGAUACCA